UACGUAGGUGGCAAGCGUUGUCCGGAUUUACUGGGCGUAAAGAGCGCGCAGGCGGUCGUUCAAGUCGCGUGUGAAAGCCCCCCGGCUCAACUGGGGAGGGUCACGCGAUACUGAUCGACUCGAAGGCAGGAGAGGGUAGUGGAAUUCCCGGUGUAGUGGUGAAAUGACGUAGAUAUCGGGAGGAACACCAGUGGCGAAGGCGACUACCUGGCCUGUUCUUGACGCUGAGGCGCGAAAGCUAGGGGAGCAAACGGG
rnacentral:rRNA from 1 species